GUUUGGGCUAGAUCGAACACCUGGGCAGACUCCCAUGUUACCCGGUGGGUCGGUGGAAGCACCUUGCAGUUGAUCAACCAAGACGCGCAUUGCCUCCAGUACUCCAUCAUAUUUCGCAAAGAAAGUGCUCACGCUGUGAGAGAAACUCGGAAGCAAGCUUUGUAUCCACUCCCCGUUUUAACAUCGCAGAAAAGCACGCGUUUUCAUCGAUAAAUGUUGCUUCAGUCACUGAUGACGGAGACGUUCCGAGAAAACCACAAGCUAUCCUGGAACCAGAGAUGAGGAAAGAGAGAAGCCGAGUGUACAGAGGAUGGGAUGAAAAGGGGAUCUGCCUCUCUCAAAUGAUCGACUUCACUUCCUCCACUGACACAGACAGCUCUGUGAGAGACGCAGGUGAGGGGGACAGCUGUCAUAAUAAUGUGCCCACAACAGCUGAUUUGACUACCUGAGUAAUUUAAAGCCUGUAAUACACAACCAGACCAUGGUGCACGGUCACUGCACAACCCCAGUACUGUGACAUGCCACAAUGCCAGGCUGUGUACAAGAACUGACCGAUACGGCAGGCUUUUUGCAAGGUGCCGGAACAUCAGGCAAUGUCCUCAACCGCCCUAUUUGGCAUGUCUCCCCUGACAGCGUAAUAUGUCAACCGCAUAGGAAGGAAGUGAAGAGCACCACUCUCAGUGUGCGCAAGGGUCAGCAUCGAACUCGGCUUCCCUCCACGGACGCUAUUUUCGAGCCUUGGCACACGGCGGCCGACUCCCACUGGGCAACCAGAUGAUCAAAGCCCUCUUGCGUUCGAAAGUGCCAAGAGCCACAGUCUGUGCUGCAUUGCCAGCAUUCCGCCGUCCACAAUCUCUGUCACGCCACUGCGGCGUGCGUGCAAUUUAUGCCAGUGGCCAUUCUGACCAUGGCAAUCCAACGUGGUGACAAGGCCUGAUAUCUUUACACUCUUCUUGCAAAAUAAGGCCAUUCGAUACACAUCAUAUCAUAUUCACAGAUCUUGUUCACACUUUUGAAUGUAAAUCGUUAGUAUUUUCAUUUAUU